rnacentral:rRNA from 1 species
UACGUAGGUGGCAAGCGUUGUCCGGAUUUAUUGGGUUUAAAGGGUGCGUAGGUGGGUCUGUAAGUCAGUGGUGAAAUCUCCGAGCUUAACUUGGAAACUGCCAUUGAUACUAUAGGUCUUGAAUACUGUGGAGGUCAGCGGAAUAUGUCAUGUAGCGGUGAAAUGCUUAGAUAUGACAUAGAACACCAAUUGCGAAGGCAGCUGGCUACACAAAUAUUGACACUGAGGCACGAAAGCGUGGGGAUCAAACAGG